rnacentral:rRNA from 1 species
GACGAACGCUGGCGGCGUGCUUAACACAUGCAAGUCGAACGGAAAGGCCCUGCUUUUGUGGGGUGCUCGAGUGGCGAACGGGUGAGUAACACGUGAGUAACCUGCCCUUGACUUUGGGAUAACUUCAGGAAACUGGGGCUAAUACCGGAUAGGAGCUCCUGCUGCAUGGUGGGGGUUGGAAAGUUUCGGCGGUUGGGGAUGGACUCGCGGCUUAUCAGCUUGUUGGUGGGGUAGUGGCUUACCAAGCCUGUGACGGGUAGCCGGCAUGAGAGCGUGACCGGCGACAUUGGGACUGAGAUACGGCGCAGAAUCGUACGGGACGCAGCAGUGGGGAAUAUUACAGAAUGGGCGGAAGCCUGAUGCAGCAACGCCGGGUGCGGGAUGCCGGGCUUCGGGUGGUAAACAGAUGUCGCCUGAGCCGAAGCGAGAGUGACGGUAAUGAGUAAAGAAGCAACGGCUAACUACGUG